GCACGAUGGCUGCUGGGCGUGGAGGUGUCGAGAGUGACUGUGCUGGGGCUGCUCCAUCGUUGUCUGAGCCUCCCGGUGCUGCCGCUGUGGCCGUUUCUUUGAUGAGGCUCUCAGAGGCCGAGUCAUUCACUGCCGGCCUGAAGCUGCCCAUGCACGUAUUCGGGCUGGAGCCUCUGAGGCCACACAAACGCCGGCUGGGGAGGCAAAGUGUGGGGCUGAGCACCAGAACUCCAGGAGCGUCUGGGCUGGAGACAGAACUGGGUGGGCAGGUGGGGAGGGCCUGCAGAUCUGAGUGGGCAGCCGAGGAGGAACCCAGAAGACGCCAGCGAUGGAGCUCUGCUGGGGCAGAAUGUGGCCAGGAGGGGCGGGAGCGGUGACGGCCUGUCUGGCGCUAGAACGAGGGACCGUGCUCUCAGGACCUCUGGAUGUUCCCGAAUAUCCUGAUGUUCCACCCAGAAGCCGCCAGGGCCAUCCUGGAGUACCGCAUCCGCACGCUGGACGGGGCCCUGGAGAACGCCCAGAACCUGGGCUACCAGGGAGCCAAGUUUGCCUGGGAGAGUGCAGACUCCGGCCUAGAGGUUUGCCCCGAGGACAUUUACGGAGUCCAGGAAGUCCACGUCAACGGGGCCGUGGUGUUGGCCUUCGAGCUGUACUACCAUACCACCCAGGACCUGCAGCUAUUUCGAGAGGCUGGUGGCUGGGACGUGGUCAGGGCUGUGGCCGAGUUUUGGUGCAGUCGUGUUGAGUGGAGCCCCAGGGAGGAGAAGUACCACCUGAGGGGAGUCAUGUCCCCCGACGAGUACCAUUCAGGGGUCGACAACUCUGUGUACACCAACGUCCUGGUCCAGAACAGGUCAGACACAAGAUCCCCUCACCUCACCCCACCCCCGCCCCAGCUGGAGACCUGCCCCGGUGCCCCUACUAGGCAGGCAGCAGCUGGAAGUGUAGGGGUUGCAGCCUCCCCCACCUACCUCCACCUCCAGCCUGCGCUUUGCUGCUGCCCUGGCCCAGGACCUGGGUCUGCCCAUCCCCAGCCAGUGGCUGGCAGUGGCUGACAAGAUCAAGGUACCCUUUGACGUGGAGCAGAACUUCCACCCGGAGUUCGACGGGUAUGAGCCUGGUGAGUGGACCCCUUCAAGGGCUCCUCCCCUGCCGUCGAGACCCUCGAGUCUGUCCUGGAACACCUGCCAGUCAGCGGCACCUCCCUGUAGGAGAGGUGGUGAAGCAGGCAGACGUCGUGCUCCUGGGAUACCCAGUCCCCUUCUCCCUGAGUCCUGAUGUUCGCAGGAAAAAUCUGGAGAUUUACGAGGCUGUGACGUCCCCCCAGGGCCCUGCCAUGACCUGGAGCAUGUUUGCUGUGGGCUGGAUGGAGCUGAAGGACACAGUGCGGGCCCGGAGCCUCCUGGACAGGAGCUUUGCCAACAUGGCUGAACCCUUCAAGGUGUGGACGGAGAAUGCAGACGGGUCAGGCGCUGUGAACUUCCUGACAGGCAUGGGGGGCUUCCUGCAGGCGGUGGUCUUCGGGUGCACGGGGUUCAGGUAAGUGCAGAGGCUGGCAGAGGGCAGCCCAUGCCCCCACCUGCCACCUCACAAACCUCUCCUCCCACAGGGUCACCCGAGCGGGUAUGACCUUUGACCCUGUGUGUCUGUCGGGGAUCUCCAGAGUGAGCGUCUCCGGCAUCUUCUACCAGGGGAACAAGCUCAACUUCUCUUUUUCCGAGGACUCCGUGACCGUGGAGGUCACAGCUCGAGCAGGGCCCUGGGCUCCUCACCUGGAGGCUGAGCUGUGGCCAUCCCAGUCCCGGCUCUCCCUGUUGCCAGGACACAAGGUCUCCUUUCCCCGCUCGGCUGGCCGGAUACAAAGGUCACCCCCGAAGCUGCCUGGAAGUUCCAGCUCCGAGUUCCCUGGGAGGACUUUUUCAGAUGUUAGGGACCCGCUCCAGAGCCCCGUCUGGGUCACCCUGGGUUCCUCCAGCCCCACCGAGUCACUCACUGUGGACCCUGCCUCUGAAUAAUCAGGAACGGUGGCUUCAGAGACGUCUCUUGGGCCUUCCCUCUGGCCACGUCUGCACCCACCCCUCCUGGGCACCCUCCUAGCCUGCCAUCCCUCACCUGCAGCCAGGCUCUCAGGGAAGGUCCAUGCUGCUUGGCCUGAGUUCAAGGCUUUCUGCCUGUAGCCUGGACUCCCGUGGACCCCCGUGGGCAGGUGGCUUCCCCGUGGCAUCCCCACACCGCCUCUGCCUGCCCCUGUGGACUGAUGCUAUCGCGCACCGUCCCACGGCCCCACCCCAAGCUCCUGAAGCCGGGGUCUGAGCCUGCAUCACCUCUGGCCUCUCAUCCCCCACUCUCCUGAGAGCAGUGGUCACAGCGGCUGGCCACUCUGCUGAGAAGGCAGAGAGGCAGGCGCAGGCCUCAGCGUGGACAGCAGGGAUAAGGGGCAUGAAGGACGGGGACUCGGCCCCUUCAGAAUUCCUCAGGACUCUCAGGUGCAGCUUUGCCAAAAAGGAACUUUUCAUGUCAUGCAGUUGAGGGGACUUAGUCUCAAUCCCAGGCUCCUCUUGACUCUGGGCAGCUUUAAUCAGGUUGGGCAGCCUCUGCUACAGCGUGGGGUGGGAUGGCUCUCUUCCCUCAGCCACGCCGCUUGUGAGGACAGAGGUUGGGGGAGUGGGAAGUGGGAAGUCACCAGAGAACAAGAGAGGGAUUUGAGGGCGAGACCCCAGCGCUCUCCACGGACCAGCCAGAGGGACUGGAGCCAGGUGUGCAUGGGUUCAAGGCCCUGGCCCUGCCCAGCCUCUGUCUUGGGAGCUCAGCCCCAGGGUUGGGUCGUCAGCAGUUUCCCAAGAACAAGAUGUGAUGGCAUCUGCUGCUGAAACCCUGAUGAGGACCAGGCCCCCUGCACCGCUGUCAGCCUGAGGAAUUAAAGCUUUGGUGCUGGGAAGAGCAUUAUUCC
rnacentral:sRNA from 1 species